GAUGAACGCUAGCGGGAGGCUUAACACAUGCAAGUCGAGGGGCAGCAUAGGGUAGCAAUACUCUGAUGGCGACCGGCAAACGGGUGAGUAACGCGUAUGCAACCUACCCUGUACAGGGGGAUAACCCGGAGAAAUUCGGACUAAUAUCCCGUAAUAAUAUCCGGAGGCAUCUUUGGAUAUUUAAAGUUUCGACGGUACGGGAUGGGCAUGCGUAACAUUAGCUGGUUGGUAAGGUAACGGCUUACCAAGGCUAUGAUGUUUAGGGGUCCUGAGAGGGUGGUCCCCCACACUGGUACUGAGACACGGACCAGACUCCUACGGGAGGCAGCAGUGAGGAAUAUUGGUCAAUGGGCGCAAGCCUGAACCAGCCAUCCCGCGUGCAGGAAGACGGCCCUAUGGGUUGUAAACUGCUUUUCCAGGGAGGAAACUUACGCACGUGUUGCGUGACUGACGGUACCCUGGGAAUAAGCAUCGGCUAACUCCGUG
rnacentral:rRNA from 1 species